AUCGGUCUGCAAGGUGUGAAGAAAAGGAGAAGCUUGAAUCUGUAAAUCAAGGAAAAUUUGGGUAUAGUAAGAAGGAAGAUCUGGAAUUACCAUUGUUUUUUAUUUGUCUGCUUAUUCGUCAGAAACCAAACACAAUUAGAUAUCGGGAACAG